UAGGGAAUCUUCCACAAUGGACGCAAGUCUGAUGGAGCAACGCCGCGUGAGUGAAGAAGGUUUUCGGACCGUAAAGCUCUGUUGUUGGUGAAGAAGGAUAGAGGUAGUAACUGGCCUUUAUUUGACGGUAAUCAACCAGAAAGUCACGGCUAGCUACGUGCCAGCAGCCGCGGUAAUACGUAGGUGGCAAGCGUUGUCCGGAUUUAUUGGGCGUAAAGCGAGCGCAGGCGGAAGAAUAAGUCUGAUGUGAAAGCCCUCGGCUUAACCGAGGAAUUGCAUCGGAAACUGUUUUCUUGAGUGCAGAAGAGGAGAGUAGAACUCCAUGUGUAGCGGUGGAAUGCGUAGAUAUAUGGAAGAAUACCAGUGGCGAAGGCGGCUCUCUGGUCUGCAACUGACGCUGAGGCUCGAAAGCAUGGGUAGCGAACAGGAUUAGAUACCCUGGUAGUCCAUGCCGUAAACGAUGAGUGCUAAGUGUUGGGAGGCUUCCGCCUCUCAGUGCUGCAGCUAACGCAUUAAGCACUCCGCCUGGGGGAGUACGACCGCAAGGUUGAAACUCU
rnacentral:rRNA from 1 species